CUUGAUCGAAUUCAGCAUCAGCCAACUUGGGACUUUGAGGGUGCUAUCUUUCUUUUGUUUGUUUUUUUUUCUUUUGAUUUUGCUUUUGAUUUUGCUUUCUUUUGAUUUCUUUUGAUUUCUUUUGAUUUCUUUUGAUUUUGCACCCUCCUCUUUCUUUUUCUUUUUUUUUUCUUUUUUUUUUUUGAUGCCCCGGUUGGCUGUUCUGCUGAUCCUCGAGAUGCAGCUGAGUGUGAUCUUCUUUUCUUGCUCAAGAAGUCGGGAAAUCUCGUCGGGAAUCCCUUCAACAUCAUCUUCGUCCGCUUCGAAUACAGGGAAUUCAAAAUUGGG
rnacentral:lncRNA from 1 species